rnacentral:lncRNA from 1 species
CUGGGAGAAGGGGACCUCCAAGUCAGUACAGCAGUGAACUGUUUGAGCUGGGACAGCCUGAGAGACCUGAUCACACAGCCUGCAUCUACAGAUUUUCCACCUCUACAGGGGAAUGCCUGUGUUUGCAGUUACCCUGAGCUCCUUUAGAAGGGAGGGGACUGAAGCGCAGAUGUCUGGACACCCCCUGCUGUUUCUUCUGUUAUGCAACAUGGCUUCUAAGCACGAGAGAGGCUGCGGCUUUCAUCGGGAGCCCACAGCACUUCUCUCUCAGCAGUGUGACUAUCCACCCGUGUGGGUAAAGAAGAUGUUGCAAGGGACACAGGCAGGCAUCCAGUUUUCAUCUCGACAGUCUCCAGUCAAGUUGCAAUGACAACGUGAAAGGGUGUGGGUGAGUCCCACUGUCUCCUCCACGCAAGCGCAGCUUAUCGCAAAGUGACGUCACCACGGGCUAUCCCAGAGCUGAAGGGCCAUCUCAGUCACCGCUGAACGUCAACAUCCAUGGCAGAGUGCAUCAGGUUCUGCCGACAAUGAAGGCAACAGGAGACUGAGCGGUAACGAAUCAAAUGACAGGAGCUAGGGAAGACCUUGGAUCAUCUGUGGGAAUGACACGGACAGAGCAGACGCGGUUCUCUCAAGCUCAACACUGACGCUUCUGACAAAUUAUUUGCUGUGAGGGCCAACUCCAAGCAGCCUUCAUUAGCAGCAUAUUAACACUUCCCGGUGUAAAUCUGGAUGCUUGAUCCUUGUGGCAGCCAAGGGCUACAGAACCAACGCUUGAGCAUUUGCUCUGAGCCAGGCUUUGUUUGAGGGGGUCCUACAGAUACCGCCAUAUUUAAUCCUCAUCACGGUCCUCGGAAGUUAAUCUCCACCAAGCAGAAAAGCCACCUAAGGUUCAAAGAGGCGAAUUGCUUUGUACAAAGCAAACAGGCCUGGCUUCCAGCUGGAGAAGCUGCUGAGAGGCCUCCUGGUAUAGCAGGGACCUUCAGACUAGAAGCCCCUCCUUUUUAGCUCAAUCCCACCCUUCCCGGGAACGUCUACUGGAUCUUGGUGGUUUUCUGAAAAGUUCAACUAUUUUUCAACCCUCUGUCCUGAGAAAACUAAGGGUGUGUCAUAAAUCAAAUAGAAUUUUAAGUAGAAAUCGCAGCUGGGCAUUUUGUGAUGAAGUCGCUGUUUAGGUACGGACACUGCACUUGUGUUAACAGAAAUGACAGUGGACACUUCAAAAAAAAUUCCAUCCAUUGACAGAUGGCGAGGGUGGGAAUAAAUGCUGUAGCGUCACACUGCGAGUUGCUGUA